rnacentral:rRNA from 1 species
GCUGACGAGCGGCGGACGGGUGAGUAAUGCAUAGGAAUCUGCCCGAUAGUGGGGGAUAACCUGGGGAAACCCAGGCUAAUACCGCAUACGUCCUACGGGAGAAAGGGGGCUCCGGCUCCCGCUAUGGGAUGAGCCUAUGUCGGAUUAGCUAGUUGGUGAGGUAACGGCUCACCAAGGCGACGAUCCGUAGCUGGUCUGAGAGGAUGAUCAGCCACAUCGGGACUGAGACACGGCCCGAACUCCUACGGGAGGCAGCAGUGGGGAAUAUUGGACAAUGGGGGAAACCCUGAUCCAGCCAUGCCGCGUGUGUGAAGAAGGCCCUCGGGUUGUAAAGCACUUUCAGCGAGGAAGAACGCCUAGCGGUUAAUACCCGCUAGGAAAGACAUCACUCGCAGAAGAAGCACCGGCUAACUCCGUGCCAGCAGCCGCGGUAAUACGGAGGGUGCAAGCGUUAAUCGGAAU